rnacentral:lncRNA from 1 species
UUUAGCUCAAGCUGUAUCAGCUUCUCGUCAGCAUGUCCGUGGGGAGGACCUGGCGUGUGAAGUGAGAUGGCCGGUAAUAAAAGUCAAGAAGUGAUGGGGGCAAGAGCAAACUCCACACUUCAAAUCCCCAUUCAAAGCAGUUGCUGGCUGGUCUUUACCCUCUUGGUUCCAUUAAUCUGGAAUGACCAUUAAUAGCGUGCGACAGGAGCAUCUGUCUUCUGGGAGGUGGAGCUGUCAGCCUAGGUAGCAAGCAGGAGAGAAAGUAAAGCCUGGGGUAGGUGUUCUUUUGUCAGUUGACUUGGUUCUCUAGUGAGGCACUCUCUCCAUAUUUGUCUCAAAACCAUUAAAGUGACCAAUAUCCUCUUUAAUGAGGUGGGAUCUUUGCCAAGAACAGCAAAUGUGAUGCUUCUGCCUUCUCUUUCAAUACUGGGAACAUGAAGCUGCUUACUGUCACGUCAAUUUCUCUCCCAAUCUGGUUGACAGCAGCUUUUUUGGUGAGGAAACAAGAGCACCCCUCCCUCCUCCUGCC